GACGAACGCUGGCGGCGUGCUUAACACAUGCAAGUCGAACGGAAAGGCCCUGCUUGCAGGGUGCUCGAGUGGCGAACGGGUGAGUAACACGUGGGUGAUCUGCCCCUUACUUUGGGAUAAGCCUGGGAAACUGGGUCUAAUACUGGAUAGGACCAUGCUGUAGGUGGUGUGGUGGAAAGAUUAGUUUCGGUAAGGUAUGAGCUCGCGGCCUAUCAGCUUGUUGGUGGGGUAAUGGCCUACCAAGGCGUCGACGGGUAGCCGGCCUGAGAGGGUGGACGGCAACAUUGGGACUGAGAUACGGCGCAGACUCCUACGGGAGGCAGCAGUGGGGAAUAGUGCACAAUGGGCGCAAGCCGGAUGCAGCGACGCCGCGUGGGGGAUGACGGCCUUCGGGUUGUAAACUCCUUUCAGCCAUGACGAAGCCCUUGUGGUGACGGUAGUGGUAGAGGAAGCACCGGCUAACUACGUG
rnacentral:rRNA from 1 species